rnacentral:rRNA from 1 species
GGGCGUGGAUUAGUGGCGAACGGGUGAGUAACACGUGGGCAAUCUGCCCUCCACUCUGGGACAAGCCCUGGAAACGGGGUCUAAUACCGGAUAUUACCGUCUGUCGCAUGGUGGAUGGUGUAAAGCUCCGGCGGUGCAGGAUGAGCCCGCGGCCUAUCAGCUUGUUGGUGAGGUAGUGGCUCACCAAGGCGACGACGGGUAGCCGGCCUGAGAGGGCGACCGGCCACACUGGGACUGAGACACGGCCCAGACUCCUACGGGAGGCAGCAGUGGGGAAUAUUGCACAAUGGGCGAAAGCCUGAUGCAGCGACGCCGCGUGAGGGAUGACGGCCUUCGGGUUGUAAACCUCUUUCAGCAGGGAAGAAGCGAAAGGAC